GGAUGGAGUAUAACUUUAAUUUAAGAUUAUGAAAUUUACAAAUAUUUUAUACUACUUUCUUAAAGUUCUUGUGAAGCAAACUAGUUCGUAAAUAACAAGUUGAGGGAUAAGGACAAAAGCUUAGCUCCCAAGACAAAUUAUGAAAUGUAUUGCUUGCGUGUUUCCAGCUCCAUUGUGUUAUCUUUGAAAAUCUUUAUAUGAUAGAAGGAAGAUAUGAUUGCUUUCAAAAGCACCUCUAGAAUUUGAAUCGGAGGAAGAUAAUCAUCAUAUGGAUAUGAUGGAAUCCGGAAAAGAAAUUUCUGAGGAAAUGACUCGGGAGUCACUAAUUGCCAUAUCUUACUCUGAAGCAAUGAAGGAUCUUUCUCUGCGGCCUAGACCUAAAAUAUCCAGUGCUGAAAAUGUUAUUAAAGCGGUAAAUGAUAAUUACAGGUCUAAGCUGAUCACAAUGUUCUACACAGAGUCACCAGACACCAAAGUUGAACCAGUCGCCUGUAAACUUUAGGGGCUAAAUUAAAUAGUUGGAUUGUAAUACUCUUCCUUUGCAGCAUGUUCUAUUUUACAGAUAAAGAAUUGGAUUUAACUUGAAUCCAGUGCUCCCCGUGGACUUUAUCCUAUGAACUAUUUUGUUGUAUCAACAUAAACCAAGUUUUGGUGUUUCACCAGCAUUUAUAUUAGUUUUGGUGCAUCUUUUUCAA